AAUUUUAGAACACUUCUAACUGGAUGGAAAACGCGAGUUCGUCAUCGCUUCAUUUUGUUGAAUCAAUCCAGAAAGGAGCUCUACAGAGCAGCUGAAACAACAAGCAUGUUCUGCGCUAAAACCCCAUCGUGGGGUACUAUGACACUGCCUCUUAGCAAGCUUAAAGAGGAAGGAUUUCUGGAGAAUAACAAAUUGAUCAUUAAAGUCCAAGUUAAAGUAGCUGAAGAAGAAGGACAUGUAACUGGGAAGGAUAUGUUUGAAAUCGAAGGUUUUGAGUUUCUUUCUACUCAGGUUUUUCCUUAGCCGGCUAUUCAUGAAACACCCAGACAUUGCAAUUGAUUUCAAACUAAAUUGCAAAGGUCUAAAAACAGCAUACAUGAAUACUAUCAUCAGCCUCAUCGAGACAUUGUGCAGGUCUCCUAAGAGCUUUUCUGAGACUGAGCUAAGCAGCAUUGACAGCGAUUUGAGAGAGCUAACAGAAGCGGGUUUUAAGCUGGAUUGGUUAAAGACAAAGCUUGAGGAGGUUUCCUUGUUGAGGAAGAAAGAAAUUGCUGAUGAUCUCCGAGUCCAAAAAUUGGAGGAACGGGUCAAGAGUGCGC